GGGAGUGUGGCUUAGUGGUAGAGUGCUUGCCUAGCAUGCAUGAAGCCCUGGGUUCGAAUCCUUAGUGCCA
rnacentral:tRNA from 1 species